ensembl:lncRNA
CCAUGAGGGUGGAACCAUGAUGAUGGAUCCAUGAGGAUGGAACCAUGAGGAUGGAACCAUGAGGGUGGAACCAUGAGGGUGGUACCAUGAGGGUGGAACCAUGAUGAUGGAACCAUGAGGGUGGUACCAAGGGAAUGGAACCAUGAUGAUGGAUCCAUGAGGAUGGAACAAUGGGGAUGGAUCCAUGAGGCAGCCUGAGGUUAGAUCUUCAACACUACUGACCAAACACCAUCACUCUGGCCCUAGCAUGUGUGUGUUAACGUGUUUUAACGUGUGUGUGUGUGUGUGUGUGUGUGUGUGUGUGUGUGUGUGUGUGUGUGUGUGUGUGUGUGUGUGUGGUAUCGUGGUGUGAAAAAUAAUUGUUACUUUUUUUGCAAUUUAAAAACGAUUAAAAGUUGCCGGGGACAACAUUUCCCUGGACCCUAGGCUACUGAAAAUGUUCCCGGACCCUAGGCUACUGAAAAUGUUCCCGGACCCUAGGCUACUGAAAAUGUUCCCGGACCCUAGGCUACUGAAAAUGUUCCCGGACCCUAGGCUACUGAAAAUGUUCCCAGACCCUAGGCUACUGAAAAUGUUCCCAGACCCUAGGCUACUGAAAAGGCUACUGAAAAUGUUCCCAGACCCUAGGCUACUGAAAAUGCUACUGAAAAUGUUCCCAGACCCUCGGCUACUGAAAAUGUUCCCCGGACCCUAGGCUACUGAAAAUGUUCCCCGGACCCUCCGAUUUACAAAUUAAUCAGUGUGUGUGUGUGUGUGUGUGUGUGUGUGUGUGUGUGUGUGUGUGUGUGUGUGUGUGUGUGUGUGUGUGUGUGUGUGUGUUUGGGCAGAUUAGAAGUGUUGGGUCCUUCCUGGUAUGAAAAAGGGUGAAAGGUCACAAACCCCGGUUUGGGCAGAAUAGAAGUGUUGGUUCCUUCCUGCUAUGAAAAAGGGUGAAAGGUCACGAACCCGGGUUUGGGCAGAAUAGAAGCGUUGGUUUCUAUUAUUGAUGUUACUAUGUGGACCGGACUGGGUCUGUGUUUUUUAUUUUAUUUACCACAACUAGAACCCGUGGAACCGUCUAGACGUGUUGUUUCCUUGUGAUGAGAUUGCUGUGGAACAGGAUUAUUAUUAUUAUUGUUAUUGUUAUUAUUAUUAUGCAUCUGAUCAUCUAUUACUCUAAAUGACGACGAGCAAUAAAGUUGAGAUCCUUUUUCAAAUAUAUAUAUUGCAUGUUUUACUAAAAA